GAUGAACGCUGGCGGCGUGCCUAAUACAUGCAAGUCGAGCGAACGGACGAGAAGCUUGCUUCUCUGAUGUUAGCGGCGGACGGGUGAGUAACACGUGGAUAACCUACCUAUAAGACUGGGAUAACUUCGGGAAACCGGAGCUAAUACCGGAUAAUAUUUUGAACCGCAUGGUUCAAAAGUGAAAGACGGUCUUGCUGUCACUUAUAGAUGGAUCCGCGCUGCAUUAGCUAGUUGGUAAGGUAACGGCUUACCAAGGCAACGAUGCAUAGCCGACCUGAGAGGGUGAUCGGCCACACUGGAACUGAGACACGGUCCAGACUCCUACGGGAGGCAGCAGUAGGGAAUCUUCCGCAAUGGGCGAAAGCCUGACGGAGCAACGCCGCGUGAGUGAUGAAGGUCUUCGGAUCGUAAAACUCUGUUAUUAGGGAAGAACAUAUGUGUAAGUAACUGUGCACAUCUUGACGGUACCUAAUCAGAAAGCCACGGCUAACUACGUGCCAGCAGCCGCGGUAAUACGUAGGUGGCAAGCGUUAUCCGGAAUUAUUGGGCGUAAAGCGCGCGUAGGCGGUUUUUUAAGUCUGAUGUGAAAGCCCACGGCUCAACCGUGGAGGGUCAUUGGAAACUGGAAAACUUGAGUGCAGAAGAGGAAAGUGGAAUUCCAUGUGUAGCGGUGAAAUGCGCAGAGAUAUGGAGGAACACCAGUGGCGAAGGCGACUUUCUGGUCUGUAACUGACGCUGAUGUGCGAAAGCGUGGGGAUCAAACAGGAUUAGAUACCCUGGUAGUCCACGCCGUAAACGAUGAGUGCUAAGUGUUAGGGGGUUUCCGCCCCUUAGUGCUGCAGCUAAUGCAUUAAGCACUCCGCCUGGGGAGUACGACCGCAAGGUUGAAACUCAAAGGAAUUGACGGGGACCCGCACAAGCGGUGGAGCAUGUGGUUUAAUUCGAAGCAACGCGAAGAACCUUACCAAAUCUUGACAUCCUUUGACAACUCUAGAGAUAGAGCCUUCCCCUUCGGGGGACAAAGUGACAGGUGGUGCAUGGUUGUCGUCAGCUCGUGUCGUGAGAUGUUGGGUUAAGUCCCGCAACGAGCGCAACCCUUAAGCUUAGUUGCCAUCAUUAAGUUGGGCACUCUAAGUUGACUGCCGGUGACAAACCGGAGGAAGGUGGGGAUGACGUCAAAUCAUCAUGCCCCUUAUGAUUUGGGCUACACACGUGCUACAAUGGACAAUACAAAGGGCAGCGAAACCGCGAGGUCAAGCAAAUCCCAUAAAGUUGUUCUCAGUUCGGAUUGUAGUCUGCAACUCGACUACAUGAAGCUGGAAUCGCUAGUAAUCGUAGAUCAGCAUGCUACGGUGAAUACGUUCCCGGGUCU
rnacentral:rRNA from 1 species